rnacentral:rRNA from 1 species
UACGUAGGGGGCAAGCGUUUAAUCGGAAUUACUGGGCGUAAAGCGUGCGCAGGCGGUUCGCCAAGUCAGGUGUGAAAUCCCCGGGCUUAACCUGGGAACUGCGUCUGAUACUGGAUGGCUUGAAUCCGGGAGAGGGAUGCAGAAUUCCAGGUGUAGCGGUGAAAUGCGUAGAUAUCUGGAGGAAUACCGGUGGCGAAGGCGGCAGUCCUGGACCGGCAUUGACGCUGAGGAGC